AUUGAACGCUGGACGGCAGGCCUAACACAUGCAAGUCGAGCGCGAGAGGCCUUCGGGUUGAGUAGAGCGGCGGACGGGUGAGUAACGCGUAGGAAUCUACCUGGUAGUGGGGGACAACUCGGGGAAACUCGAGCUAAUACCGCAUACGCCCUGAGGGGGAAAGCCGGGGAUCUUCGGACCUCGCGCUAUUGGAUGAGCCUGCGUUGGAUUAGCUGGUUGGUGGGGUAAAGGCCUACCAAUGCGAUGAUCCAUAGCUGGUCUGACAGGAUGAUCAGCCACACCGGGACUGAGACACGGCCCGGACUCCUACGGGAGGCAGCCGUGGGGAAUAUUGCGCAAUGGGGGCAACCCUGACGCAGCCAUGCCGCGUGUGUGACGAAGGCCUUCGGGUUGUCAAGCACUUUCACUUGGGAAGAAACGCUGUCGGUUACUACCCGCCAGAAUUGACAUUACCUUGAGAAGAAGCACCGGCUAACUCCGUGCCAGCAGUCGCGGUAAUACGGAGGGUGCGAGCGUUCAUCGGAAUUACUGGGCGUAAAGCGCGCGUAGGCGGUUUGUUAAGUCGGAUGUGAAAGCCCCGGGCUCAACCUGGGAAUUGAACCCGAUACUGGCCGACUGGAGUGCGAGAGAGGGAGGUAGAAUUCCACGUGUAGCGGUGACAUGCGUAGAUCUGUGGAGGAAUACCGGUG
rnacentral:rRNA from 1 species